AACGCUGGCGGCAGGCUUAACACAUGCAAGUCGAACGGGCACUUCGGUGCUAGUGGCAGACGGGUGAGUAACACGUGGGAACGUACCUUUCGGUUCGGAAUAACUCAGGGAAACUUGAAUUAAUACCGGCUACGCCCUUCGGGGGAAAGAUUUAUCGCCGAAAGAUCGGCCCGCGUCUGAUUAGCUAGUUGGUGAGGUAAAGGCUCACCAAGGCGACGAUCAGUAGCUGGUCUGAGAGGAUGAUCAGCCACAUUGGGACUGAGACACGGCCCAAACUCCUACGGGAGGCAGCAGUGGGGAAUAUUGGACAAUGGGCGCAAGCCUGAUCCAGCCAUGCCGCGUGAGUGAUGAAGGCCUUAGGGUUGUAAAGCUCUUUUGUCCGGGAAGAUAAUGACUGUACCGGAAGAAUAAGCCCCGGCUAACUUCGUGCCAGCAGCCGCGGUAAUACGAAGGGGGCUAGCGUUGCUCGGAAUCACUGGGCGUAAAGGGCGCGUANGCGGACUC
rnacentral:rRNA from 1 species